CAGCCGCCGCGGGAAAACGUAGGGUGCAAGCGUUAAUCGGAAUUACUGGGCGUAAAGCGUGCGCAGGCGGUUAUAUAAGACAGAUGUGAAAUCCCCGGGCUCAACCUGGGAACUGCAUUUGUGACUGUAUAGCUAGAGUACGGCAGAGGGGGAUGGAAUUCCGCGUGUAGCAGUGAAAUGCGUAGAUAUGCGGAGGAACACCGAUGGCGAAGGCAAUCCCCUGGGCCUGUACUGACGCUCAUGCACGAAAGCGUGGGGAGCAAACAGGAUUAGAUACCCCAGUAGUCCCUGUCUCUUAUAA
rnacentral:rRNA from 1 species